GUGUUCCUACCGCUGGCGACUCCGUGGAAUUGGAUUCAGCUAGAUACCAGAAGAUAAUCCGGUGCGGGCCCCAGCUCCUGUGUUGCUGGACGGCUAGUGGCUCCUUGUGGGCUUGCGAGACGUCGUAAUCUGGAGCAAGUGUCACAAGGUUGUGGGGUAAGAUGCGACAUUUGUAACCAGAUUCCUCGAACGUCUCACGGACCGCAGCAUCUUCUAGACUCUCGCCAACAUUUUUGCGGCCCUUGGGGAGAUGGUAUUGACGCCUUAUGCGACAAUAGAGGAGGAGGACAAGAUCCUUCGUGAGAUCGAUGCACACUGUUCCACAUCCGAUGACG
rnacentral:sRNA from 1 species